UGGGGUGUGGCCAGCGGUAGAGUGCUUGCCUCUCAUGAGGGAGGCACUGGGUUCGAUCCUCAGCACCAUAU
rnacentral:tRNA from 1 species